AGAAACACCAGUUCAUGUCCGAUCACUGAAGUUAAGCAAUGCCGAGCUUGGUCAGUACCUAGAUGAGUGACUGCUUGGUAAUAUCAGGUGCUGUAAU